rnacentral:lncRNA from 1 species
UUUAUCUUCUGCUAAGUCCUCUUCGGUCCAAGCUGAAGGGGAGGAACUACACGAAGCUUGAGGGAGCUGUUAGACCAUAUAUAUCUUUGUCAUACACCGAUCUAUAAAGAUAGAAGCAAGCCUAGUUAGGCUUGAUGUGCCUAAUAUUAUUCUAUCACUAUACCAGGGAUGCCGAUGGAAUAUUUUAACAUCUCAAGUUGGUUCAUC